rnacentral:lncRNA from 1 species
AAUCAGCACUCAGGUGGAACUUAUAAGGGUCUCCUGGUCCUUGGAUAUUUUCCUGGGUCUCAUGCUAGGAAAGUCUGCAGCAGGAAGAUGCUGAAGACCUGAGAAGUUCAUGCAAUGGAAAGAAGUGGGCCUUUCAGUCAAAGAUGUGGAAUUAAAUUCUGAUGUGACAAACCAAGAUGGGCAAAUGAUUUUAGGUCCUUGAAUCUCAGGGUCCUCCUUUAUAAAACAGCCUGACCUCAUCAAGCUGAUAUUACGGGCAGCAUGAGAUAAUGUAUGCACUGCCGUUUGGAAUGAAAAAUGCUACGGCUGUAUGGAAAAUAAUUUAGAAGAUCUUCAAAAUUUAAAAUUACCACAUGAUUCAGAAAUUCCACCUUGAGGUGUGCAUCAAAAGACUUAAAAACAGGUAUGUAAACAAACACGUGUAAAUGCGCAUUCAUAGCAGUGCUAUUUACAGUAGCCACAAGGUGAAAAGAGCCCAAAUGUCCAUCAAUGGCUGAAUGGAUAAACAAACUGUGAGAUCUAUCGACAAUGGAAUGUUACUCAGCAAAAAAAACUGAAACACUGGUAUAUGCUACAACAUGGAUCUACCUCAAAAACAUAUUCAAGAAAGAAGACAUACACAAAAGGUCACACACUGUAGGUAUAUGAAUACCCUGAUAAUUAGGGUAAAAGCAGAUAUGUGGGUACCAAAGCCUGGGAGGAGGGGGGGGCAGGAGAAAAGCUUAACGGGCAUAGAGUUUCCUUUGGGGGUGAUGGAAAUAUUUUGAAACUAAAUAGACGUGAUUGUAUACAUAGUGAAAUGUACUAAAUGCCACGGAAAUGUUUACCUUUAAAGUGGUAAAUUUUAGGUUUGUGAAUUUCACUUCAGUUACAAAACAACACCAAAAAACACAUGAGAUAGAGUGUACGAAAAUAUUCCAUUUUUAGGAGUUUCCCAUCAUGGCUCAGUGGUAAUGAACCCAACUAGGAUCCAUGCGGAUACAACUUCCAUCCCUGGCCUUGCUCAGUGCAUUAAGGAUCUGGCGUUGCCGUGAGUUGUGGUGUUGGUCAUAGAUGCAGCUCGGCUCUGGCAUCGCUGUGGCUGUGAUGUAGGCCAGCAGCUGUAGCUCUAAAUCAACCCCUAGCCUGGGAACUUCCAUAUGUUUUGAGUAAGGCCCUAAAAAGCAAAAAUAAAUAAAUGAAUACUCCGUUUUUUUCAGUGACUUACCCGGGGUCACUGAGGAUUGGAAUUUGUACAGGUAAAGGUCUAUGUAGAAAGGUCAAUAGGAAUAUGAAAUUUCUAAGGACUCUUUCUUAAGAGAGAAAGACAUUUACUUUGAAGGGAGUGCCCCCCCCAAACGUCUCCUCCUCUCUCAAUUCUCAGCCAGAAUCAGGUCACACGAGAAUUCCUAAACCAGUCACCCCAGGAGGAGGGAGUAUCCUUAGACCCAUCAAGCCCCCUUGGAGCUGAGGAUGGGUCAGGUUCCUUGAGACCAUGGCUUUGUGUGUGUGUGUGUGUGUGUGUGUGUGUGUAAAUAUUGUUGGAGGAGAACCAGCUUUCUCUAGGACAAGAUAGAGGGACAAGGACCACACUUGGCAACCCAGUAACACCCCUGCCAAUUAGAUAUUAAAAAAGCUGGUUUCAUGGUCACAUGGAGAAGCCCAUACUUCUGCCUAAACAUGCGUUAUGGGGUUAUGGGAAGUGCUGAGCUUCCUCGCAGAGAUUCAGAAAUAGUUUACAACUCUAAAGGACAAUCAAGAAGGAGAUUAAAAACUGCUGCAAAAUAUUGCCUACGAUGUCUAUAAAAUACAGGGACUGCUUUGAGAAACCCUCUCUUUUGGAGACACUACUGCAAGAGAUAUUACAGUGAGAAGUGACUUAGGGAGGCGGUGGUUGAGAGAUGGAUGGGGACCCUGGAGAGAAAGACCUGGAUGGAGUUUUGGCUUAAAACUCCCAGUAAGCCUGGAUUUAUCCUGCAUGAACAGAAGCCUCCCUAAGCUUCAUUUUAAUCCACAAAACAGGGAAGCAAUACCCUUCCUCACAGAGACCGUGAAAGAAUUAUGCUCAGGGGUGGAGAAAUGCUUCAUAAUUUACGGGUUCUAUGGAGAGCUCUGACCGAAUUCCCUAGAAGUCAUGCUGGAUGGACAUGACUUACACAUGGCUUCUUACCUUAAAAUUAAUGUAUAAUGUAUCUUAAUAUAUCGGAGGGUUUGAAACAGUUCUGCACAUUGAAUGAAUGAAUGAAGCAUGAAAAUGCCUCACUGCCUCUACAUCCAGUAAAAUUGGAAGCAGAGAUUCCGUUUGGCCAGUGAGCUCCUCGAAAUCACCCAGUGGAGCUGUCACCACGUGGUUCCCAGGCCUGGCUCGUCAGCACACUGCCAGCCUUACUUAGAAAUCUCCAGCUCAUACACCACAGGCCUGGCUUAAAACUAUUUUUUUUUUUUUUGCCUUUUAUGGCCACACCUGAGGCAUAUGGAAGUUCCCAGACUAGGAGCCGAAUUGGACCUGCAGCUGCCAGCCUACAUACACCACAGCUCAUGGCAACACCAGAUUCUUAACCCACUGAGCAAGGCCAGGGAUCGAACCCACAUCCUUAUGGAUACUAAUUGGAUUCUUAACCCAUUGAGCCACAGUGGAAACUUCCUUAAAACUAUUCUUUACGAUACUCAUUUCUAAGCUCCUUAUGUCAGGACUGGAUACAUAAUUUGGGGGACCCAGUGAAAAAUCAAGGCUCCUUAUUUAAAAAUUAUUAACAAUCUCAAGGCGGUGACAGAAGAGCAUUAACCCCAGUUGGGGGCUUUCUAAGCACAAGACCUUAUUUGACUGUUGAGGUCACAUGGUCAUGAACCUAGCUCUACUUAAUACCUGCAAGUGAGAAAUGCAAAUGUCUUAGCACAGAAUACAGGGCCCUUCAGAAUAAGACCUUCUAGUUUACAUCCUAGGUUUCUCAGAGCCCUAAUUAGCAUUUGUCUCAUGCCAUUUAAAUCACUUUUUUUUUUUAAACACCUUGGUCUCUUGCUAUAAGAAGGUGAGGUUUUUGAUUUCAGGAAAUAUGUCUUACCUCCUUCCGUGCCUCUAGCUCCCAGCCUGGUGUCUGGCAUACCAUGGUUCCUAUGUGAACCUGGAAGUGGCCACCUGCCUAGAUCAUGGCAAUGUCCAACCUUUCCUUCUCUCAUGUUGACUCUGGCUGGGACCUCUGAAUCUUAUCCCAUGUCUGAUCAGUAUUUGGCUUUGACACCUGACCUUGCCCCUGGUUGCUAUGACACUAGGUCUUUUCUUGGACUCCUAGUACCUAAUUCCUCUCCCUUCCUUUGGCCUUUAGCCUCAGGGAUAGUUCCAGAGCUCAGAUCCAACUCUGAAGCAGCACGACCUAGGGUGAAUCUCCUCUAAAGCAGAUCCCAAGACAAGGAUUUGGGCCAAGCAUUUUAUUUGCAUGUUGAGGGAGUGGGAAGUUGAGAAAGUGGAGGGUGCAACGCUAAGAGGUACCUUCAUUAGUAGGUUCCAUUAUGGGCAAACUGGGCUCAGGCUGCUAGGGACCAUCUGAAAAGUUGUGCUAAACCCAGCCCUAAGUGAUCCUACCGGAAGGAAGAAGCCAGAGUAUUUAUUCACAACUGUUGCCUCUUCUUGAUCUACGGUCACUCUGGGAACUUUCCAGAAUUUGUAGUCUACUUUGGAUGUGAGUGGGAGUGCCCAUGGCAGAGGAUGCUCUUAGCCAGGAGAUGCAGGAAACCGCCGUCAUGGCUGCAGGUGCCCUAGGAAUAGGUGUGUGUGUGUGGUGGCGGGAGGGCAGAGAACAAGUAGAUCAUUGAUGACGUCCAUUACCCAGAGAAAUGGUGUCAAACAAUCCUUGGCAGAAAUGUUCCUAGAUGGUCAUGAACUCCAGCAAGCACAUCAGGGGUAGAAACUACAGCAGGUAGUUUCUUAAGGCUGCUGUUACAAAAUCCCAUCGGCUGAGGAUAUAUGGUCUCACAGUUUUGGAGGUCACAAGUCCAUAUCCAAGGCAUCAGCAGGGCCAGGCUCCCUCUGAAGUCUCCAGGGAAAGAUCUGUUCCAGGCCUCUCAACUUGUUCCUUGGCGUAUAAAUGGCCGUCUUCUCCCUGUGCGUCUUUUCAUUGCUUUUCCUCCAUCAGUGUAUAUCUGUGUCCAAUUUUAUAAGGACGCCAGUGAUAUUGGAUUAGGCCCCAUUCCAAUGACCUCAUUUUUAAAAUUAAUGAAUUAAUCAAUUCAUUAAUUUUAAGGACUGCACCCAAAGCAUAUGGAAAUUCCCAGGCUAGGGGUUGAAUAGGAGCUGCAGCUGCCCCACAGCAAUGCCAGAUCAUAGCUACAUCUGUGAUGUAGCUCACAGCAACGCCAGGUCCUUAACCUACUGAGCAAGGCCAGGGACCAAACUUGCAUCCUCCUGGAUGGAUACUAGUCAGGUUCAUUACCCUUGGGCCACUAUGGGAACUUCCCAAUGACCUCAUUUUAACUUGAUGACCUCUGUAAAGCCUUACCCCCCUCCCCAAAUGAGGGUCACAUUCUGUGGUAUGGGGGAUUAGGACUUCAACGUAUUUUUUAGGGGACAUAAUUCAAUCCAUAACAUGACCGAAUGAAUAGAAAGCACCACCCAUGUCCCCCUCGGUCUCCCUAAGUGGGCAAAGACCUAUCAAGGAAAGGUCCCCCUCGUCUAUCGAGGUGUUUUAUUACAACAGUUCCCCCAAACAACAGCCGCUGGAAUUUUUCCCUUCACUUGCUCACACUAGAGAGAAAAGUGGGCUAAACUCUUUCAGCCGGAAGACAGACUCUCACCAAAGUGAUGUGCAUAUGUGAAUGGAAGAUGAAAGGCAGCUUGGCUUGCAGAAACUGUGGGGUGAUUCUGUCCAAAGGGAAGAUUCACUGGAAGCCCUUUUUGGUGAAGACUGACUAUUGUGGGAGGCACACAGCAAACUAGAAGGAAAUCCACAGGGGAAUCUUUGUUAAAAACUAAAAUAAUUAAAGCCUUCAAAAAUAGGACCUAGAGAAAAAGCUGAAAGGAAUUUGACAAUUUCGCCUGCAGAAAAGCAGACUGAGGUGUGGCUUCCCACUUCCCCCGCAUUUGAAAUGUGGCCAAAGGCACUCCUACUCCUGCUGAGAAGAGAGUGAUGGGAAAAAGGCUUAGACUGAAGAAGGGGAGAUUUGGAUGGGAUAAACUGAGGAGUGUUCUAGAAUUAGCCUAUGUGGUGUCAACACUUCAGGAUUGGUUCACUGACAGCAAAGACGUUACUUUUGCACAGACUUAAAGAUUUAUGCAGAUUCCUUUUACAUGCAUCACUUCAUUUCAUUCUUCCCACGUGCCUUUGCGGGGACAGGGGAGGUAACAUUGUAUAAACUGUAAAAGGCCGUGCACAUGAUUUGCACAAGUUGCCCAUAAAAUGCUUAGUUUUGCCAGUCCAGGGUGCCUUGACUUCAGCGCUAUUGACAUUUGGGGCCUGAUGAUUCUCUCUGGUGAAAGGCUGUCCUAAAUGUCUGUCCCACAAAAUAUCUCCAAUCAUUGUCAAAUGUCCCUUGGAGACAGAAAUCACCCACCGUUGACAACCACUGAUUUGUCUAAGUCUCCCAAAUUCAGUUCAAGCCCUUUCAUUAUUUUUGUGCCCCCUCUGGGGAGAUAAGAAGUAUUAUUGCUCAGUUUUUAAAUAUUUGUGAAAGAUGAAAAGACAUCAUCACUGAUUUCCAGGACCUUCCAGACGACUGGGAAGUGACCUUGCCCCUUCCUCACUGUGGGAAGGUGGCUGUUAUGUGAUGCCCCCAAAGGGUGCAGAGGUCACAGGAGCCAUUCAGUCUGCCUAGCAUUUUAAGGAGGAAACAUUUCACAAAAAAGGAAGGAUUGAAACAAAGUCGUUAAAGGCUGAAUAGAGGUUAAUCUACUAGAUGUUGUCACAUGAUAUACAACUUUAUAUUCUAAAUCAGGGGUCAUCCCACGGGCCAUGGGUCAAAUCUGGUGUCUGUUUUUAUAAAUAAAGUUUUAUUGGAACACAGUUACAAUCAUUCAAGUAAUGUCUGCAGCUGCUUGCAUGAUACAACAUCAGAUUUGAAUGGUAGCACCAGACUCCACAGUGAUCACAGAGUUGAAAAUACUUUAUUAUCUGGCCCAGAGGAAAAAAACUUGCAGACCUCUGUCCAGGACCUGAAAUUAUGAAGGGGUCCUUAUUGGAUGUCUUUCUGCUGCCUCACUUACCAUUGCUUUAGGCAAGACUGUCUAGUGUGUACAUAGCACUGUGGCUUCUAAUUUCUUUCUUAGAAUGAUCUUUAAAAUAUUUAUUGUGAUCAUCAGUCCAACAAAUAGAAGUUCAGAUAAAAGAAUGAACUUGACAAAAUUAAAGAAUGAGUAGGCAAGUAAAUACAGGGUUCAAAUCCCCAGGUUUCUGAUUCAAAGGCUUUAAACUCUGUGAGUCUCAGUGUCUUCACUUAUUAAAAGCAAAUAAAGGUACCUACCUGUCUCA